UACGAAGGGGGCUAGCGUUGUUCGGAAUGACUGGGCGUAAAGCGCACGUAGGCGGAUUGGUCAGUUGGGGGUGAAAUCCCGGGGCUCAACCUCGGAACUGCCUCCAAUACUGCCAAUCUUGAGUUCGGGAGAGGUGAGUGGAAUUCCUAGUGUAGAGGUGAAAUUCGUAGAUAUUAGGAAGAACACCAGUGGCGAAGGCGGCUCACUGGCCCGAUACUGACGCUGAGGUGCGAAAGCGUGGGGAGCAAACAGG
rnacentral:rRNA from 1 species